UGGGGAAUAUUGCACAAUGGGCGAAAGCCUGAUGCAGCGACGCCGCGUGAGGGAUGACGGCCUUCGGGUUGUAAACCUCUUUCAGCAGGGACGAAGCGCAAGUGACGGUACCUGCAGAAGAAGCACCGGCUAACUACGUGCCAGCAGCCGCGGUAAUACGUAGGGUGCAAGCGUUGUCCGGAAUUACUGGGCGUAAAGAGUUCGUAGGCGGUUUGUCGCGUCGUUUGUGAAAACCAGCAGCUCAACUGCUGGCUUGCAGGCGAUACGGGCAGACUUGAGUACUGCAGGGGAGACUGGAAUUCCUGGUGUAGCGGUGAAAUGCGCAGAUAUCAGGUGGAACACCGGUGGCGAAGGCGGGUCUCUGGGCAGUAACUGACGCUGAGGAACGAAAGCGUGGGUAGCGAACAGG
rnacentral:rRNA from 1 species